AGUCUGUCCUUUUCAAUUCUUUCUCUGCUUCGUUGCCAGCACAACACACGAAGUCCAUCUUCAUUCUUCAAGUUCACUCAUCCAAACAUGCAUGUGGGUUAAACUCCAUCAUAAAUCCUAUUUUCUUCCUUCUAUUCAAGUUAAAUCUCAAAACCCCAAUCUUUAUGCCUUCUCUUUUGGUUGGUGCAUGUGACGAAUUGAGUAACCACAAGUUGAUGGAAGAUAAGGGAAAUCAAGUUGAGAGCCUCGUGUGAAUCAAUUUUAAGAACAAGGUAGUUUUUGAAAAGGUUGGAAGAGCUUGGGUCAAACCCGUAUUCUAGAACAGGGCUUUACUAAAACGGUAACUGCUCCUUCUGUGUAACUCUGAUUUAAAUUCCUUCUGUAAAUUUUGUCUUUUGACGAGUCCGGGAGUUGUCGAUGACAUUUCACAGUAAAGGGGUUUCAAUGACAAAGUUCAAAGUUGGAAAUAAAACUACAGACUAGGAUCAAAUCAAAGAAUGAGCUUGUUGGAGGGAACUAAAAGUGGGAGCUUGGUACUAUGGUUGUGAUGCUCAAUUGUUGAGAAAGCUUCCAAUUUUAAAGGUGGGUUCCUUAGAGCCUUAAACUCUAGUUAGUUUAGCUCCAUUAGUUUUCUCAAAUAAAAUAAAUGCAUGAUAACAUUAGUUCAGUUAGAAUAUUAAUUCCCCAAUUUAUCAAUUGCAUGACAAUACUAAGAUUUAAGGAAUUUAUUGUGUGAGAAUGGUUAAAUCCCCAAACUAUUCUCCGUUCUGAAUAAUUACAGUGUUUGAAAUUAGGAAGAUAUGGAUUGUAGGUGAAUAUUGGCUUGAUUUCUUAGAAAGAAAAAAAAAAUGCAAACAGGGUUCUGUACUGAUGUACUCGCUUAGCGAUGAAUGACUUCGCUGGGCGAGAGUGUCAUAAUAGAACACUGCAUAAUUUUACUUUAACUACCAAGUCACUUGUUUUAUAUUCCUAUUCUUCCUAAUGUGUUUCUGUGGACAGUGUAACGUCGUUACAUAUUUAGAAUGUUAAUCACACCUCAGGAAAUUAAGUAUCAGGAAUCAGGACGGUUUAGAGAUACCCUGGAAGGGAAUUCAUGGGCAGGAUAACAAUCAGGAUUAUUAAGUUAAGAAAGUCAAUCAAUUAUGGUGGUUACUUAUGUACCACGUUAUGGGAUUCGUUAGAAUCCAAUCAUGUUAUUCGACCUCAAUCACACAUGUUAUGAUUGUGAGCUUCAGUCGUGUCGAUGUACAUUAUUAUCCCAAACGGAUAUGUCAGGCCUCUGAGACCGGCUCACCUCAGAGUGUCUUUGUUAUGAAUAAAACGAAUAAGAUAAAUAAUUUGUGUUACACCUUUAUGUAUUAUGUUAUGAAAUUAUGUUAUGUAAAUCAUGUUUAGAGAUUGACUAUCAGGAUUAUAGAACUAUUAGUUCAUCAAUUGUACCCGGUGUAGACACCAAUAGUAACUGGGUAGUAGGAAUCCACUGAGACGAAGUAACUGUUCGCAUCCCCCACUUAUAUGAUUUCAGAUAUCAUGGUCUACAAGCAUGGAGUUCAGAUACUUCGAUUAUGCUAGUUGAGCUGACGUCAUGUUGUCUUAUAUUUUGUAUAAGAUUUAGUUUCUUUAUGUUUUUAGUUGUUAGCUCAAUUUAGUAUUAAUCUCUUGGAUUUUGUAAUCCUAUUUAUGUAUUUCAGAUGAUAUGUAAUGAAAAUUUAAUGUUUCCCGAUUCAGUUAUGUACACUCUUGUUGAUAUUCUAGAUAAAUUGACAUGAGGUGUUAUAAUAAUCGAUACUUAAUACUUAAUGAGUUAAUGUAAACUUUUAUUUUCUAAAAAGAUAAAAUGAAAUGAAUAUAUAGAAAGAGUUUAAAGAUGACAAGCAAAGGAGCAAGACCAAAUUCUAUCUGGAUUAAGACGCACGUGUGUAACGUGCUCCUCCACCGAGGACGCAUGUUCCUCCAAGUUUAUCCCUUAUCCCUAAUAAGCGGAACACCUUAGCCCAAGAUGAGGACCACGAACGGUCUCUCCCUCCAUCCAAGGAGAAGUCCUGGAAGUCAUCCUUAGUGGGCUGCUCAACACGGCCCAUUAAGGAGACGUUUGACCCAACGUUGGGGGCUCUAUAUAAACCCUCCUCAUCAGGAGGGUCAGAGAUUCAAUUCAUUCUACUCUUUGAAGCAUCAGAUUGUCUACAGGUACAAAUCCCCCCUCUGUGGAUUGCUCAACAACGAACGUAUUGCUGGCAUCAUAAUCUCUGAUCUCCAGGUAUGAUAAAAAUGUAAUUUUAUAUUUAAUUUAGAGUUUAGUGGAUAUGAUAUUAUGUUAGUGUAAAAUAAUUUGACACUAACAUUCAAUAAAAAUCAAGCAUUUUGCCUUCUAUUUUCUCUUUCAUUUAUAAUAUUGUAACAGGUUUAUUUGAUAUGAUAUCCAUGUGUUUAUUUGUUUCAGGUUGAAGGAUUAGUUCUAUAUAGUGAAGAUUCAAUCAAUGUCGACUUUGGUGUUAUCAACGCUACGGAUUCGGAGGCAUGAACAUUCCGAACACUUCAAUAAUGUCAUAUUUAAAUUUGUAGGCUAUGCAAUUUGUCGUUUUAUGCUAUUAACAUGUAUAUUGUGAGUUUGUUCGCAGAUUUAUCUUUUUUGUUUUUAGCGACUUUGAAUUUGUAUUGCAUCGUAUUAUCAAUUUGAAUGAAUGAAUAUCUUUAUUUUGAG
rnacentral:lncRNA from 1 species